CUCACAUUUGCCGUGCAUGCAGAAGCCAUUGUAAUGCUCUGGACAGGGGAUGUAGAUCCCUCGUGCGCUCUCUUCCAGUUUGUUGGCAUUCUCUGCAUAAUCUGUCCGUGCGUAAUGCCCAUCUUCAGAUUUUGUAGUUGUUGUAGUAUUAUCUUGACAUCGACCCAAAGACAUGACUUCAAUUUUCUCCUGUUUCUGGCAUGAUGCCUCUUUGAUUUGACAUGCAUUAUCAUAAGAUUUCCCAUCGGAAGCACAAAGAGGAUUGAAGUUGGUUUGAGAACAGUCGAUGUUGCACACACACCAAACGUCCUCUGCAUCUUCGUCACACUCUGCCCCAAACUGGCAAAUGUCACAGGUCGAUGUCUCUUUUUGACUGGUUUCACCUGAGCCUUC
rnacentral:lncRNA from 1 species